GUAAGGGUCUAAGAGUAAAAGUGUUUGGUUUGGUAUGUGUAAGGCAUGGAGUGUUGGGAUGGCACCUUUCGAACAAAAGCAGAUGGAUGCUGAGGAGCUGUGAUGUGUUGUAUCCCUUAAAUCUUGUAGAAUCAGACUAAGCCAAGGAUUUGGGAGUGCCUCGAAGCAGCUUUCUGUAAGAAAACCUACCCACCAACAACUUUUACAAGGGCAGAAGGACGAGCUGCUUGGCUGCUGUCUGUGUGCUGGAAAAGACAAGGGCAUCGACAUAAAUAAUAGCAGCACCCAUUAAGCCUGUUCCUGAUCAGCCUGGCUGGACUCUGCAACAAUAGGGCAGGUGCAGCUGGGAAGGAAAACACCUCUGCCCAAAGGCUGCAGCAAGGGAUUUGUCCCUCUCUCCUGGUUCCAGCCUUUGCCAACACCAAGGCCUGCCCGUGCUAUUACACCUGUUG
ensembl:lncRNA